CAACUAGGGCACCCACCAGGCACCGGUGGAGGACCACAGACACCUAAGGGGAUGGGAGGAACCCCCAGCGACUGGUUGUUUCAAUUAUAUUUUUAUUUUUCCUAAUAUAUUUUUUAUCUUUCUAAUUUUAUUUUCUUUUUUAUUCUUUGUUAUUGUACUGCUCUUUUUUUUCUUUUCCUUUUUUCCACGUCAUUUGGCUUGCGGGAUCUUGGUUCCCGGGCUGGAGGUCGGGCCCGAGCUCCUGUGGUAGGAGCUCCGAGUCCAAACCACUAGACUAACAGAGAACCUCAGGUCCCUGGGAAUAUUAAUCGGACUGAGGCCUCCCGGAGGUCCUCAUCUCAGCACCACGAACUGGCUCUAUCCAACUACCUGCAAACUCCAGUGCUGGACGCCUCAGGCCAAACAACCAGUAACACAGCAA